GCACCUGUAGCUCAGCUGGAUAGAGCGCUGCCUUGCGGAGGCAGAGGUCGUAGGUUCAAAUCCUGCCAGGUGUACCA
rnacentral:tRNA from 1 species